AAGAAGUCCAUUCAUCCCUUCUGAGAGCACAGACGUGAGGCAGAGCAGGGGUGGGAAGUAGCUAUGAGUCGGAGGAGGGGAAGGAAACUGAAGUUAUAAAUAGGAUGAAAGAAGAAGAAAAAAGAAACCUAGAGUAUUUUUCUUCCUUUCUUUUUAUUCAGCACAUCUCCACCAACAAAAAAGUGCCACAGCUGGAGAAAUCAUUCCUUCAUCUGAGUCUUCAUCUCCCUUCUUUAUAACCCCACAAUAGCCUUCCAAAUGACAACCCAUCACUGAGGAGAACUGGGCCACAGCCCAGAGAGAAUUCCCGUGGCAGCUCUUUCAUCUGGACAGCUCACAAGGCAAAGGGCAGACAAGGAAGGCUCAAGGUUCUUGCCACAUCUUUCCAUCAGAGGGAGCCUGAGGAAGUGGCUACUGACUAGAGUUGCAAACAGAUUGCCACCAACUGAAAAUCUUGGCAAGAAGAACAACAAGAUAUCAUCUCCACUGGAGAAUCAUGUACUCCCCAAACAAGAAAAAGAAAGGCUGUGCCUAUUUCUUGGAAAGAAAAGACAUUCUCACUUUGGGGUAUGAGUGAAUGAGUCUUAGCUACAAAUAAGAUUCAACUUGUAGCAAGCAGAAGUACCACCAGAGCAAAAGUUUAAGGCAAGUAGCUUUAAUCACAAUUGUAUUUAGUAGAUAAAAACCUAAGGCUUAAAGCAUUAAUAAUAUUCCAGAAUUAUAUAAAUACAGGCAUGACUAUGUGGGUCUUCUGUUAUAUAGAUGAAAUCUAAGUGUUUGAAUUUUAUUUAUUUCAUGUUAUUUUUUUAAACAGGGUUUCUCUGUGUAACUCUGGCUGUCCUGGAAUUCACUUUGUAGACCAGGCUGGCCUCAAACCCAGAGAUUUGCCUGCCUCUCUGCCUCUGCCUCUGCCUCUGCCUCUGCCUCUGCCUCUGCCUCUGCCUCUGCCUCUGCCUCUGCCUCUGCCUCCCAAGUGUUCCUACCACCACCCAACUUGUUUGGAAUUUUAGUAGCUCACUUUUUUCAUGCCCUUAUAUCUUAAGUCCUUUUUGUUUGUUUUGCUUGUUUGUUUUUGUUUUUUGUUUUUGUUUUGUUUUUUGAGACAGGGUUUCUUUGUGUAACAGUCCUGGCUGUCCUGGCACUCACUCUGUAGAACAGGCUGGCCUCCAACUCACAGAGAUCUGCCUGUCUCUGCCUCCAAAGUUCUGGUAACAAAGAAGUGCACCACCACUGCCCUGCCAGCAUCUUAAGUCUUGAAGUCUAACCUGUGUUUAGGUGCAGAAUCUUCCCAAUCUUUUUGUGGAAUGGAUACUUGGCUGAGAUGUUUGCAUUUAUGCCUUUAACACCUGGAGGAACUUAGAUACCAACAAGAAAAUGAUUGUAGCAUAGAUGUUAUUACUUCCGAAGCACUGUGGAGUGUCAAAGAGUACUUCAAAUAUAGCUGUCC
rnacentral:lncRNA from 1 species